CUGUUAUCUCCAUGGCAACAUCAUUUCCUUAGAGACUUCAGACGACUACAGCAAUGGCAACGGAGUGCCACCGGAGCUGAAGAAGGCAAAUGAAGAAGUAAAUACAUGACUAACAGGUGGUGAGAAGGGGACAGUCAUUUUGGAACUAAAGAUGGAAGACACACACUGAAGAUGGAAAAGCCAUCCUGCCUCUGGACUGCUGCCUCUGGACUGCUGUGAA